GAUGAAGAACGUAGCGAAACGCGAUAUUUCUUGUGAAUUGCAGAAGUGAAUCAUCAGUUUUUGAACGCACAUUGCACUUUGGGGUAUCCCCCAAAGUAUACUUGUUUGAGCGUUGUUUCUCUCUUGGAAUUGCUUUGCUCUUCUAAAAUUUCGAAUCAAAUUCGUUUGAAAAACAACACUAUUCAACCUCAGAUCAAGUAGGAUUACCCGCUGAACUUAAGCAUAUCAAUAAGGGAGGA
rnacentral:misc_RNA from 1 species